rnacentral:rRNA from 1 species
CGGCGUCGCUAUACCUGCUUUUCAAUACUCGAUCUCAGAAGCUAAGUAGGGUUGGACAUGGUUAGUACUAGGAUGGGAGACUGUUGUGAAUACCAGGUGCCACGGUGG